UACGUAGGGGGCAAGCGUUGUCCGGAAUUAUUGGGCGUAAAGAGCGCGUAGGCGGUCCGAUAAGUCGGCUGUGAAAGUCAGGGGCUCAACCCUUGAAAGCCGGCCGAUACUGUCGGACUAGAGUCCGGAAGAGGCAAGUGGAAUUCCCGGUGUAGCGGUGAAAUGCGCAGAUAUCGGGAGGAACACCAAUGGCGAAGGCAGCUUGCUGGGACGGUACUGACGCUGAGGCGCGAAAGCGUCGGGGAGCAAACAGG
rnacentral:rRNA from 1 species